UGACAGAGUGAGAGAGGGGGUGACUAAUGACAGAGUGAGAGAGGGUGUGACUAGUGACAGAGUGAGAGAGGGGGUGACUGUCACUAGUCACCCCAUCCCUCUCUCUGUCACUAGUCACUCCCUCCCAAACUCUGUCACUGUGUCAGCCCGUCCCUCACUCUGUCACUAGUCACCCCCUCUCUCACUAUGUCACUUGUCACCCCCUUCCUCACUCUGUCACUA